rnacentral:rRNA from 1 species
CAGUAGCCGCGGGAAUACGAGGGGGGCAAGCGUUGUUCGGAAUUAUUGGGCGUAAAGGGUGCGUAGGCGGUUUGAUAAGCCUGAUGUGAAAUCUCUGGGCUCAACCCAGAGUCUGCAUCGGAAACUGUCGGGCUUGAGUAUGGGAGAGGUGAGUGGAAUUUCCGGUGUAGCGGUGAAAUGCGUAGAUAUCGGAAGGAACACCUGUGGCGAAAGCGGCUCACUGGACCAUUACUAACGCUGAUGCACGAAAGCUAGGGGAGCAAACAGGAUUAGAUACCCCCGUAGUCCCUGUCUCUUAUAC